UCGGUAGCGGGGGGCUCAGACACGCGGUCCACACUCCGGCCGCCGGGACCGCGCCGAGCCACUGGCGAGACCGACCCGCUCGGA
rnacentral:ncRNA from 1 species